rnacentral:rRNA from 1 species
UAGCGGGUAUUGACCCCUGCUGUGCCGAAGUUAACGCAUUAAGUUCUCCGCCUGGGGAGUACGGCCGCAAGGCUAAAACUCAAAGGAAUUGACGGGGACCCGCACAAGCGGUGGAGCAUGUGGUUUAAUUCGACGCAACGCGAAGAACCUUACCUGGAUUUGACAUCCUCUGACCUCCAUGGAAACAUGGCUUUCUAUGCUUGCAUAGACAGAGUGACAGGUGCUGCAUGGCUGUCGUCAGCUCGUGUCGUGAGAUGUUGGGUUAAGUCCCGCAACGAGCGCAACCCUUGUUUUUAGUUGCUAUUAUUAAGUUAAGCACUCUAGAAAUACUGCCUCGGUUAACGGGGAGGAAGGUGGGGAUGACGUCAAGUCCUCAUGGCCUUUAUAUCCAGGGCUACACACGUGCUACAAUGGGCUGUACAAAGGGUUGCCACUUCGUGAGAAGGAGCUAAUCCCAAAAAGCAGUUCUCAGUUCGGAUCGGAGUCUGCAACUCGACUCCGUGAAGUUGGAAUCGCUAGUAAUCGUGGGUCAGCAUGCCACGGUGAAUACGUUCCCGGGUCUUGUACACACCGCCCGUCACACCACGAAAGUCGGCUGUACCAGAAGUUGCUGGGCUAACCCUUCGGGGAUGCAGGUACCUAAGGUACGGUCGGUAAUUGGGGUGAAGUCGUAACAAGGUAGCCG